UAUUACAUUACAUUACAGCUUUAGUAGCUUCAAUAUCUUCACCACCAGGAACACCAUUCAUUUCUGUGAAAAAUACUAAUCAGCUUAGCCAUGCAGGAUAAUCUUCAAUAGUCCUUUCUCCAACUUAGUUUUGGUGUUUUCCAAAUCAACAGUAAAUAUUGAAAUUUCCUAAAGCUGCAAGUUGAGAUAGAGGAACUGUCGAGUUUCUCGUGUUGUAGUCAAAAGUUGGAGGCUGCUGCAAUGCAAUCAUGUGAAAGAGUCAUCUACUUUACAAUUGUAAGAAGUUAACAACAACAUUCAGAUGCGAGAAAAUGUUUUAAUGCAUAAUAAGGCAGGGAUAGUUCUUUCAAGUACUAAAAUUAUUCUUUCUACGUGCGAGAAAAAGUAGCUUUCCAGUUUAGCUUCUUCAAAAUAAAUAGACAAAAGAUCAUCAGAUAAAGUAAGAACUUCACUAUUUGGCUGAUGAUUUGAGCAUAUUAUAGUCCUCCCACUUCCACCACCACCAUAUGUUAUUAAGCACUUGAUUAACAAAAUAAGCAGAAGCACUAUGAAGUCCACUUGUAGAUUUAUUAAGAAACAAGAAUUGUGGCCUCUUUUUUUCACCACCAUUUGUUCUUCUCAAACGUCAGUUCCCAAUUAAAAUUUCUGCAAAAUCCUCCAAUUCCAUCUCUAAUAUAACAUUAUCUACUAUUUCUUUUAUUUCUUGUUCCAUCAUGUUGUUUGGGAGCCUCAAUUGAGCUGAGUAUUGGAUGGUUUUCUUGUUACUGUUAGAGUUCCCAUUAGUAUAUCUUCUCGUGUGAAAUAAGGCUGAAGGUUAUCCCAAGUAACAUGAAAUCACAAAGACAUAUUAGUUGAGUUCAACUUUUAUAUGCACAACAACACUAACAUACCCAGUACAGUCUCAUACAGUCUCAUACGUGAGAUCUACCCAGAUCUUACCUCUACCUCUAUAGGGUAGGAAGGUCAUUUCCACGUAAAAUGUUUAUACUGUCGAAAAGAACUUUGAAAGUACCAAAAGCUUCACUGAAAAUACUCGUGCUCAAAUUACGGAUGUUGUUGGAGAUAGGCAUACCGAAUCCAAAAAGGAGGAACAUAGCCUUUGGUCGGCAAGGAGGACAAUGUGAAACUGCUCACUGUCAUGACAGUUGAAGAUGACAUACAGCUGGAGUCAUUUCACUGAUUGGGAAUCUAAAUAAUCGUCAGGCUGCCUUAGAAGGACGAGAUGGGUUGCAGGUCAUUGUUAUAAACAAAUUCAGAUUUUCCAAAAUAUUAUCCCUUGGUCCCCAUAUAAGAGUUAUAAAAAGUAUAUUUUUCUUUUCGAUUUUAGAGGCUUCCCUUUCUCCAUAUCUCAAAAUAUCAACAAUCCCUUCCAAUACUUCAUCUAUAAAUAAAUCCUGAUUGAAUGA